AUGCCGGUCGCGCCGGGUCUGGCCACCGGGUGGCACCCACGCUCCACAAAUGCUGCCAACGCGCUGGGCUCGGUCUCCGCUAGGCUCUGCUUGGGAACCAGGGGAGGCAGGGGCUGCAGGAGGGCCAGCGCUGCCCUAGUCCCAGCCCCUGGCUCUCUGAGCCAUGAGUUGACAUUCGUCCCCACUAGGCCUUCUUCCUCAAGCCUUUGUGUUUAUUCUGUUCCCUGCAGACCGAGUGAUGCCCCUUCUCCCAGGCGGCCUGUCUGCCCAUCAGGAGGCCCAGCGCGGCCAGACAGUGAGCCACGAGCACCCUCAGCCCUGGAGCCCGCCCAGUGGUGUUUACAGGAGGCCGGGUCUGGGAACACCUGUUGUCCAGGCAGCCUCCUGCUGUCCUGCCUCCCUACACCCAGCUCACCAUCAGAAAUGCCAUGUUUCUGCCUGUCCUCGUUAUGGCCAGCACUAACUGGCUUUUGCCCCCGAGUAACACAUCAACUACAAGAAACAGAGCUGCAGGUCUGGAGAGUGUUACCUGGAUGCCCCGAAGUCCUCUGAUCUGCACUCAGAGUUUCCUCUCAGCGCUCACUCUUGCUCUGAGAAGGCUGCUCCUGGUGAGCCUCGCUGGGAGGGAGCCCCAGGAGGAAGGAGAGCCAGUAGCAUCGACUCUUUUACUCUCCAUGGACACCUUUUCGGGGAGGGUUUAUCAACCCCAUUUAACAG
rnacentral:lncRNA from 12 species